rnacentral:rRNA from 1 species
UACGAGGGGGGCAAGCGUUGUUCGGAAUUAUUGGGCGUAAAGGGCGCGUAGGCGGUGCGGUAAGACUGUGGUGAAAUCUUCGGGCUCAACUCGAAGCCUGCCGCGGUGACUGCCGUGCUCGAGUGUGGGAGAGGUGAGUGGAAUUCCCGGUGUAGCGGUGAAAUGCGUAGAUAUCGGUAGGAACACCAGUGGCGAAGGCGGUUCCUGGAGCUAACUUGACGCUGAGACGCGAAAGCUGGGGGAGCAAACGG